CACUCACAUUUCAGACCUACCUAGCAUUUGACAGUGUUCAUUCUUUACUUUUGAGUUUUGACUAACUACAAUUAAUCCGUGUAAUUUAUGUUUUAUAGGUGGUUGAUGGGAAGCUUUCUCAAACUUGUUACCUUAUGGCCCUUGAUUCUUGCUAUAAUCACUUAAGUCACAAAUAUGAGAAACAAGAGGGAAAACAAUUUUGUAUUUCUGAUGCAUAAUACUUUGUAUUUCACUAUCCAUACAACAAGCUUCAACACUCUUGGAAGAUGGGGGUGUUCCAAAAGCAGCAAGUUCUUCUACACUCUUGAAAGAGGCCAUCCAUGUAAUUAGUUGUGGUUAUGAAGAUAAGACAGAAUGGGGGAAAGAGGUUGGGUGGAUAUAUGGCUCAGUUACCGAAGAUAUUUUAACAGGUUUCAAGAUGCAUUGUCAUGGUUGGAGAUCUGUAUACUGCAUGCCAAAAAGGCCUGCUUUUAAAGGUUCAACUCCUAUAAAUCUCUCAGACCGUCUGCAUCAAGUUCUUCGGUGGGCUCUUGGAUCUGUUGAGAUCUUUUUCAGUAGGCAUUGUCCCAUAUGCUGUCUGUCUGCUCACAGGGAAGUUCAUUGUCCCCGAGGGAAAUUGAAUCCACGCCAUUGUGAAGAGGACACUAGUUUAGAAAUUUCAAAAUGGAAUCAAGGAAGGAAAAUGCUAUUCAUUCCAUCUGAUGGGUAUUGCUUCUAACAUUGGUGGCUUCAGGACUAACCAUCAUCCUUACAAACUUACAUUUCAGUUUAACACCAAGGUCAUAUUGUUAGAUGAUGGUGCAAUCCCAAACAUUGUGCAUGAUUUGGUGCCUAUUUCUACAAUCAUGGAUGGUGGUCUUGAUUUUGAUUUUUUAGUGGAUGUCAUGGGAUGGGAUUGUUGACUGGUGUUGGAAUUGAGAGAGAGAACGGAAGGAUGGCAAGAAGACCAAGAUGAAUGUGAUUCAACUUGCGAAUGAAAGGAUGAUUGCAAGUAUGGAUUCACCAUCACAAGGCUUGACUUAGCUGACUGAGUCAACCAAAAUGGAUGCAUCCGAAGAAUUUUUUGAAAGCCACAAUGUUAAUAAGUUGAUGUGUUUUCCUGAUUUAUAAUCAAACAUUUUGUUCCUUUAUUAUUGCAGAUAUAUAAUAGAUUGAUACAACACAUUUGAUAUAACAACUGCAUUAAUUUAAAAGACAAGUUAUCAGGCUGACCAAGAAUCAAUUAUAUUUUCAAUAGCACUUGAACCUUACCAAAACUCUUUUAUGUUAUAUGCAGGUUUGUAACCACCUUGAGCAACUCGAGCAGAUGUGUCUUUUCAAAUUCUUGGAAGACAAUUAAGGACUAAGUUUGUACAAAUUUGGUCCUAAAUUACACAUGUUUUGGUGAGGAAGAAUCAUGACCAAUGAUAAAAAUUUACACAUUAUUUUGUGAUGAAGCAUCUGUUGUAAUUAUAAUUUUUUGACAGCAGAUGUUGAAUUGAUUUUUGUAGCUUAUAUUUUUCUCAUAGGAGAGUUGUGAAAGAUAUUUGUUGUCCUUAGACAUUGUCAUAACCAAACAAUGUGAAACACUAUUGCUUUGACAAAUUAUGAUAGUAGAAUUGGGAAGAAAGUUGGUGAAUGAGAGAAAAAAAAUGUCAUACAAGAUAAAGUGAGGCAAAAAUCAAUUUUAUAAACAAUUAUCGCUUACCAGGAUUUCUGCUUUUCAAUUAUACUUAAUGCUAUCUUAUUUCUAUUAGGUAAUCAGAACACUUUAUUUGUUGGCAACAUGAGUCUGAAAAUAUAAAAAAUCCAGAAUAACAAUUUUUGGUUGCUGGCAAAGGCUAAUGGUUUGAUUUGUUUUUGGAAAUUAGGAGUGCAGGGUACGUGGUCUCAUGUUCUAAUUUAAUUUAUCUGGACAACAUGAGACUGAAGGUAACAAUGGUGUGGAAAACUACUCAUACUUGGUGGCAAAGCUCAAUUGUUAACUUUUGUUUUUCGAUCAUCGUAGUGCAUAGACUACUCGAAUUUGGAGGAUCAAAUUAUUUUCUUUGAGGAACUUCUCUAUUGAAAUUAAUUGAUUGAUUUUCAACUUCUAAUUUUGUUUCUAUUCAUUGAUACUGAUUUUUUUUAUUAGUUUAGUCUUUAAAGGGUGUCAAAUUUUAAGUUUAAUAAUAGGGUAAAUAGUUACUUUUGUUCCUCAAUGUGUAAUUCG